GUGUAUUCAUUUACAGUCCUUUUCUCAGAGCUCUGAAUUAGAAUAAGCGUUGUAAUAAUCCAAUAUAUGUGCAUGUGUAAGUGCAUUUUCUUACAGGAUAACUAUUACUCCAGGCCUUUCCUCGUUGAUAUUCCCUUGAGCUGUUGUGAUCAUUAUUGAUGUCAGAAAAGUGGUCUAUCUAUCAUGGAGUCAAAAAUAUUAUUGUUUUGAUAGAUACGAGUUUCAUGCUAUUGCACUGGCCAAUUUUUCAAGACUUUGAAUAUCAUUUGUUAGUUUAUGGUAGGUUUAAGAGAAUUCCAAUAAAUUUUCAAGAGUUUGAAUAUCAUUUGUUAGUUUAUAGUAGGUUUAAGAGAAUUCCAAUUUUUUGUGUUGCCUGCUGCACUUGUUACCCAUUUUUUCAUUUUACGAUUCAAAAUGUUAAUUGCCAUGGAGUAAUUAUGAUUUAUAAUUGUAUGCUUGUGACUCUCUUCUUAGUUGGACAGGCAUAAGAUUAUUCAUUGACACCCCUGAAGGCUAGAACCAGAGCUUACCAAUUGAAUGAGCCUAUAAUCUAUUUAUCUGAAAGAAAAGCCAUUUAUUGUCAUAAUAUUGCUUGUUGGUAUCUUUUUCCAGGUCCGUGGAGACCAAUGUCAAGCAAGAAAUUGCACCAAAUCACAACAUCAGAGCAGGGCUGGCUUCUCUGAUACCAAAAAAGCAUGAGUCAUGGUCAAUCAUCUAUGGAUGGAGGGCCAGUCUUGCAUCUCUGCUGUUCAAACAAGGAAAUUAGAUCAGAUCAUAAAAAUAGGAUUAUUUUGAAGUUAUAAUCAACUGAUAGUGCUGGAUUUUUGUGCUGCCUUUGGAUGUUUUGUUGGCGUUGCUGCUUUAUUUCAAUCUAUGUUACCAUGGUCACAUUUUAAAAAUGCAUGCUUUAAGUGUUUGGUUUAAUUCUUCUACUAGUCGAUUUCCAAGUUAUUACUCUCGGAAUUAGCUAUACGGAAGAAGUAUAUUUGCUGGAAAUAUCUAAGGUGUGGAAAGAUUUUAGGGGCAAGAGAAAAUGCUUGUGUUUAAUGAUGUACUCUUGACUAAUAUUGAGAAAAUGUUUACCUACUACAGUACUACCUAGUGGUGGAUAAAACCCAUUGCAACUUUUUAGACUUCUGUAAUUCAGGAAGGAUGUCUAGUACCUACUACCUAUCUGUGGGAUCCGGCGCAAAGUCGCCCAGUUUAUCCAACCCAACCUAUGAAUCAUUGCGGACCCCAAUUUGAAAGAAGGGUUUUGUAAUGGCAACACGGGCUUAUAACAUACAAGUGCUAGUACUUGGGCCCAGUUUUGAGAAUGAGUUCUACUGUAAGACGGGCCUGUUCUUCUUCUUUUUUUUUCUUUUUUAAGUGGAGUUAUUGGCAUCCCGCCCUUUUCUGAAUAUACCUCAAUAAAAUAUUUAAAAAUCAUAUAAUCACUUGUAACACUCUAUGAAUAUUGAAAGUAACCUUAAUUUAUUGAGAUCUCUUCCUUAUUGUGUAGUGAGUUUGCCGUUGGAUUAGCUCUAGUAGGUUAUAUGUAAAAUAUAGAAGUUCAAAGAAUGUUUAUCAAAAUCAAAUUAUUGUUCAACUUCCCCUAUGACUACCAGUUGACUAUGACUACUAGUUGAUAACGAGUUUUGAAACUAAAAGGAAAUUUCAUGAUAUACAGUGAAUUAUUAAAGACAUCUAGCAAGUAUAAUAAGCCUUCAUGUACUCUUUCUUUCCUUUUUUUUUUUUAAUUACAUGAGACUAUUAUUCAUAUUACAAUUCAUAUUAUAUGAGAUUAUAACUAAUUUUUACAAUCGGAUAAUUACUGGGACUAGUAGUUCUCUAAUAUUUAGGGGACAUCAACUCCACUCACAUUUUAAAAGGGAGAAUACUACAUUCACUUAAAUUUAAGGAAAGAAAUUAAAUCAUAGUUGUGAGAGAGUGGUUAUAGCCACUCGGGCUGUUGUGAAAAUUUUUAAUAUAUUCGCAAGCGCACGAAUCUAAACAUAAAAUAGUAGUAACGAGGUCGAACUCACAUGGUUUGUUAUAAAUUGAAAAGUUUAAUUUAAAUCUAAAAUUAAUUAAUCCUAACCUAGUUGAGCAAAUUGAGUUUUUAAGAGAAAUAAAACUAAUAAAACUAAGAAAACAAAUAAAGUUUAUGGAAAUUCAAUAAGACAAAGGUUAUCAAGGUUUUAGAAUCCACCACUAUUCAACUAACAAUUAUCUGAUUGUUAAUUAAUCCUUAAUUUUAGAGUGACAACUUGAAAUCAAUCUAUGCCAUUUCAUGGAUAUAAAAAUUAAGUCCCAUUAAUAUUAAUCUUGUGUAGGUUCUUCUUCUGGUUAAUAGUAUAAUAUCUAAGCAUCUCAUGUAAACAUAUUAAAUAACAAAGAGUCAAAGUUUUUCUAAACACUCUAUGUAAACAAUUUAAUAAAAGACACCGAGUCAAAGGUAAUCUUAUAUAGACUUUAGAGAUCCAAAUCCAAGCAUAGAUUUAGUAAGAUAUUAAUCCUAACAAUCAAUAAUGCAUGAUAGAAUUAGUGAAAAGAUUUAAAAACAUCCAACUAAUCAUUUUUGAUAGAAUUGGUGAAAAGAUUUAAUAACAUCCAACUAAUCAUGUAAAAUAAAAACCAUAAACUUUUAAGAACAUAUACAGUGAAUUAAUUAAAUAAAAAUAAAAAUUAUUUCAUUGAAUAUGAUUUCAUUCUUAAUCUUAGGAUAAAAAAAUUAAUUAGACAUAUUUCAAUUGAGAACAACAAAAUAAAUAAAACCAACCAUGAAAAAUUAAAUUGCUGCUACUUCUUCUCUCUCUGUCGAACGCUCCCUCCUUCAAUUGUCUAAUGUACGAG
rnacentral:lncRNA from 1 species